rnacentral:rRNA from 1 species
UACAGAGGGGGCAAGCGUUGUUCGGAAUUACUGGGCGUAAAGGGCGCGUAGGCGGCCUGCUAAGUCGAACGUGAAAUCCCCGGGCUUAACCCGGGAACUGCGUCCGAUACUGGCUGGCUUGAAUCCGGGAGAGGGAUGCGGAAUUCCAGGUGUAGCGGUGAAAUUCGUAGAUAUUCGGAGGAACACCGGUGGCGAAGGCGACUCGCUGGACUGAUACUGACGCUGAGGUGCGAAAGCGUGGGGAGCAAACAGG